ensembl:lncRNA
CCGGUGUUUCAGAAAGGGGCGUGCAUUAGAAGGCAGGCUUCAGGAUCUGCACCUACAUCACGCUCAUGAAACAUGUGUGUGUGAGUGUGUGUGCGCGCGGGCGUGAGGCUGCAUGUGUACCCUUUCUACGCGUGUUGGACUUACUAGCUUACUUGUGAUUUUUGGGUUGUUUUUUUUUUUUUUUUUUUUUUUUGGAGUAACCAAACUGAAUUUCUGAACAGGCAUUACACACUGCCGCCCCAUGUGAGCAUCAGCGUAUCCAGAUUCCAGUUGACAUUUUUUACUCAUUAAGAAAACGUACACAAAGGAAAUGUAGGUGACCAAGAGGUGUGCUCACUUCCAAAUCAAACAGCAUCUACGUCAAACUGCUUUUCUUCAGAUGAUGGUGAAGAUAUGGUGAAACUUGAGGAUGAUUAUUUAUUUCUGGAAGGAGUUUUCCAACACUUGAAAGUCUUCAGGACCGAGGACUUGAAAAAGAUGAAACAGGAGAGGCUGAUGAGGGAACUACUGUUUAUAGCAGCUGUAAUGCCAGUGAACAGGAAAUAACUUGUUUCAUAGAUCAUCCACAACAUUAAAU